UUCAAUGGGAACAGUGGUCUGCAUUUUGUUGUUUGUGAGAGUUUGACACAAGGAAUGCAAAAGAUUAACUUCAGGGUAAUUUCCACCAGCAAAAAGUUCAUUGUGUAUGAAGCAUGUUAGAUUCCAAAAGUCUCCAGAGAACUACAUUGUAUUGACAAAAUGAUUCCUCAGUAGUAUUACCAAGAAAGAAUUUGAAGGAUCUUAUUUGCGAUGAGAAAUCCCAUAUAGAAUCUGUGACUUCCAUUUCAUUCUAUUCCUUGCUUUCUAUUAUUCUCAUAAAAAAAAAAUCCUUGAAUCAAAACCCUCACACCGAUUUUGCAGUUCUUAAUUAUCAUUUUAUCAUCUGAAGGGUAACCUGUCAUAAAAUUUGACUUCACUAGCAA
rnacentral:misc_RNA from 1 species